rnacentral:lncRNA from 1 species
AGCAGCUGCUCGGGACAGAGGGGCAGUAGCAGCUCGGGACAGAGGGGCGAUAGCAGCUCGGGACAGAGGGGCGGCAGCUGCUCGGGACAGAGGGGCGGCAGCUGCUCGGGACAGAGGGGCGGCAGCUGCUCGGGACAGAGGGGCGGCAGCUGCUCGGGACAGAGGGGCGGCUGCUCGGGACAGAGGGGCGGCUGCUCGGGACAGAGGGGCGGCUGCUCGGGACAGAGGGACGGCUGCUCGGGACAGAGGGACAGCUGCUCGGGACAGAGGGACAGCUGCUCGGGACAGAGGGACAGCUGCUCGGGACAGAGGGACAGCUGCUCGGGACAGAGGGACAGCUGCUCGGGACAGAGGGGCAGCUGCUCGGGCGGCCCCUGGCUGACUGACGGCACUGGCGGCCCCUGGCUUACUGGCGGCCCCUGGCUGACUGGCGGCCCCUGGCUGACUGGCGGCACUGGCGGCCCCUGGCUUACUGGCGGCACUGGCGGCCCCUGGCUUACUGGCGGCCCCUGGCUGACUGGCGGCACUGGCGACCCCUGGUUGACUGGCGGCCCCUGGCUGACGGGCGGCACUGGCGGCCCCUGGCUGACGGGCGGCACUGGCGGCUCCUGGCAGACGGGCGGCACUGGCGGCUCCUGGCAGACGGGCGGCACUGGCGGCGCUGGGCAGACGGGCGGCACUGGCGGCGCUGGGCAGACGGGCGGCACUGGCGGCGCUGGGCAGACGGGCGGCACUGGCGGCGCUGGGCAGACGGGCGGCACUGGCGGCGCUGGGCAGACGGGCGGCACUGGCGGCGCUGGGCAGACGGGCGGCACUGGCGGCGCUGGGCAGACGGGCGGCACUGGCGGCGCUGGGCAGACGGGCGGCACUGGCGGCGCUGGGCAGACGGGCGGCACUGGCGGCGCUGGGCAGACGGGCGGCACUGGCGGCGCUGGGCAGACGGGCGGCACUGGCGGCGCUGGGCAGACGGGCGGCGCUGGCGGCGCUGGGCAGACGGGCGGCGCUGGCGGCGCUGGGCAGACGGGCGGCGCUGGCGGCGCUGGGCAGACGGGCGGCGCUGGACAGACGGGCGGCGCUGGACAGACGGGCGGCGCUGGACAGACGGGCGGCACUGGCGGCGCUGGGCAGACGGGCGGCGUUGGCGGCGCUGGGCUGACGAGCGGCACUGGCGGCGCUGGAGAGGAGGAAGGCUCUGGAAGCGCCGGACUGAGUAGCUCUCGUAGCGCCGAACAGGCGGGAGACUCCGGCAGCGCUGGAGGGGAGGAAGGCUCUGGUAGCGCCGGAGAGGCGGGAGACUCCGGCAGCGCUGGAGAGGAGAGAGCCCCUGCAAGGAUGGGCCGGAGAGACAGCCUGGUACGGGGAGCUGCCACCGGAGGGCUGGUGCGUGGAGGUGGUGACGGAUAG